GGCGCGACGCGAAAACGGCGGCGGCAGUGGAGCUUCUCCGGCGAGCGAUUCCAGUGGCCUGGGGGCGUGCGAGCGUGGGCCAGCAGAGGGGAAGAAGAGAGGAGAGCUCGGGCUUUUAAAGGACGCGGGCCGCUCGCUCUAGGAAGGCCGAAAUCAGCGGGGCGGCGAUGGCGCGCGCGGAAUCUGGCGCGGAUUCGGCGGCGGGCGGGCGGCGCUUUCCUAACGAGGACAACGGCCCUGACAGGUGGGCCCCACCUGUCAGCGGCAGCGGGCGCGCGUGGCGCUGGGCCGGUCCGGUUCGGGCAGGCUCGGGCGUUGCGGGGCCGGUUCGGCCCCAAACAGUCGGGCCGGUCCGGUUUUCCCUUUUCUUUUUUCUUCUAGCCUUUUGUUUUUUUGUUUUUCUUAUUUCUUUGAUAACUUUUGAUUUUGAACUCCAAAUUGGUCCAAAUAAAUUCUAGAAAAUUUGUAAAAUCAUGUUUUAUCAUGAUUCAACUUUUGGGAGUAAUUUCUUCUCAAAAUAAAACAUCUAAACAGGCAUUUGCCCUGUAAAUGCCUUUAGGGCUAUAUAACUAUUUAAAUAAAAUAGUUUUUCAACUCCAAAUAAAUGUCCAAAAAAUUAUGGGAUAGCUUAUUUAUGCAAUAAACCUCUCUUAUAAAUAAACCUUAUUGGUUUGAAGAUCCAAAGCUCAAAUGGGUGUAAACACUAGGGUUUAAAUUGAAACAAAAUCUUUUAAAGCCUUUUGAGAUUCAAAUUUGAAUUCAAAUAUGCAAUUGUCGCAUGAUGCUCAUGGAUGCAAUGCACAUGUAAAAGUUUGAAAUUUUUGGGAUGUUACAGACCUAACCCCCUUAAGAUGAAUCUCGUCCUCGAGAUUAGGUGUGGUCAGCAAAGAGGUGUGGGUGGUCUUCUCGAAGAUUAUCUUCGCGCUCCCAAGUGGCUUCUUCUUCUGUAUGAUGGUCCCACUAAACUUUGCAGAACUUGAUAGUCUUGGAUCCGGUUUGUCUCUCAGGUGUAUCCAAGAUUCUGAUCGGUUUCUCCUCAUAGGUGAGGUCACUCUGUAAUUGGACUUCCUCGAGUGGAAUUGUAUCCCUCAGGGGUGUGUCAGCCAUCUCAGGAUGACACUUCUUCAGUUGCGAU
rnacentral:lncRNA from 1 species